GACGUAGGGCGCGAGCGUUGUCCGGAUUUAGUUGGGCGUAAAGAGCUCGUAGGCGGCUUGUCGCGUCGACUGUGAAAUCCCGCGGCUCAACUGCGGGUCUGCAGUCGAUACGGGCAGGCGUAGAGUUCGGUAGGGGAGACUGGAAUUCCUGGUGUAGCGGUGAAAUGCGCAGAUAUCGAGGAGGAACGACCGGUGGCGGAAGCGGGUCUCUGGGCCGUAACUGACGCUGAGAACACGAA
rnacentral:rRNA from 1 species